rnacentral:tRNA from 1 species
GGGCCGUAGCUCAAUGGUAGAGCACGGGACUCAUAAUCCCUUGGUCGUAGGUUCGAGUCCUUCCGGCC